UAUGGUGAUUAUAGCGAUGGGGUCCACCUCUUCCCAUUCCGAACAGAGAAGUUAAGCCCGCCAGCGCAGAUGGUACUGCAUUUAUUGUGGGAUAGUAUGUCGUUGCCGUAA
rnacentral:rRNA from 1 species